rnacentral:rRNA from 1 species
AUUGAACGCUGGCGGCAGGCCUAACACAUGCAAGUCGAGCGAGCGGCGGACGGGUGAGUAAUGUAUGGGGACUGCCCGAUAGAGGGGGAUAACUACUGGAAACGGUAGCUAAUACCGCAUACUAUCGGAUAACCCAUAUGGGAUUAGCUCGUAGGUGGGGUAAGGGCUCACCUAGGCGACGAUCCCUAGCUGGUCUGAGAGGAGGAUCAGCCAAACUGGGACUGAGAAACGGCCCAGACUCCUAGGGAGGAAGAAGGGGGGAAUAUGGCACAAGGGGGGCAAGCCUGAUGCAGCCAUGCCGCGUGGAUGAAGAAGGCCCUAGGGUUGUAAAGUCCUUUCAGUCGGGAGGCGUUACCGACAGAAGAAGAACCGGCUAACUCCGUGCCAGCAGCCGCGGUAAUA